UAUCUUCGACGCUUUUCCAC
rnacentral:misc_RNA from 1 species